GGGAGGGAAGUUAUGGGGGGGAAUAAAAAAAUGUUCCACGGUAAUAUUUCUGUUUAAUAUUUUGAAGAAAUGAAGGAUACCUGCAGAAUCCCUUUGGUAAGACAACCACAAAUCAGGUUGGCCUGAUUUUUCAAAGCACUAUUGGAAAGAUACUGUUAUUUAAGAACCCAACAAAGAAUCUUGUACCGCUUGCUGGCCUCUCCUCCACUGAGUAGAGAGCAUUGUGCAUUCUUUGUUUUAACCAUGCACUUUGAUUCUUCUGUGAUGCAAUGGAGAGUGGAAUUGAUUCGUAAUAACGAGAGAUGGUUUUAAGUUGCUCUGCAUACAUCCCAUUUCCAUUCUUGGCACUCCCAUCCUUUGAGCUUUACCUGGAGGCAUAGGUACAGUGGUGAACAACUGCUUUUCUCAACUUCAUCUUGGGCUGGAGGCCCUGGUUCUACGAAGGAUCUACAAGUCAUCUGCUUUGUCUGGCCCUUCUUACCUGCCUGCCUUGUACUCCUUCUGUGACCACCAUGUGUGGACCAGGCACCUCCAUCGCAUGUCAUUUUGUUGAAUUUGCAGUGAGUAUCAACAUUUCCUUUAGCCCUUUAUAGGUUAUCCAUGUGGGUUUUCAUGACUCUUAUUGUAUGUAAUUCCUGCUUUGUGAUGGUUCUGUUCAUAAAGAACAUCUUUUCUACAAACUUCCACCAACAUACUUUGCUGUCCCACAUUAUUGCCAGAUGUUUGAAAAGACAGGUAAAAAAGAGGUUCAGGGCUAUGAGACCUAGGCCCUGCCAGGACAGUCAGGAAGAGAAUGAAGAGGAAGUGUGCUGUUCUGCUGCUUCCAAUCACUUACACAGCCCUUUCAGCUGACACUUCCCAAAGCAGUCUGAGCCAUCUGUCUUUGCAGAGUGUGGCUUUCUUUGUCAGACUGGGUGGCAGUGUUGAUGAGACUUGGAAAGUAAGAUGUACAAAAGUCAGCGUCCAAUUUUGGGAAGAAAUAUAUACAAAAUUAUUUGUAUUGUUACCUUCAAGUGCCGUGAUAUACAUUAGCCUAAAUAAGUUCAUAAAAUAAUUUUCCCUGUGUCCCCUCGCCUCCAGUCACCAAUCCCCUCCCCCUGGCCUCCACCACCACUCCAUCACCGACCUACAGCCAGGCUUACUGUCUGAAUGGGGGGUUGUCCAGGCCAUUCAUUUGUUCUUCAUCCCUCUUCUGCUUCCAGACUUUUGGCUUCUGCUUGUUAUUGUUUCCCUCCGAGGUAAGAAUAUAAUAAGAUGACAUUAAAGUAGUCACUAUUAUCCUUUCUGGUACAAGUGUGGGUGAGAAGAGAACAAUUAUCGGCUGGAAGGGAAUUUGAAGGAUCCAUAUUGAUUGUAGCUCCAUGUAUUUCAUUAGCACACAUAAUUGAUAGCACUUCCAGUGCAUUAAAAAUGAUUAUUCUUUACUGACUAGGUUGCAUUAUUAGCACACAUGUAUUUCAUUAGCACACACAAGCAAGAACAACAUCCAUGGAGAAACAAAUGAGCUUUUUUUUUUUUUUUACUAGCCAUUUUGCAAAGUUAGUGAGUGGGUAUUUGUAAAGCUGAUCUACUAGUAUAUGUAAAUGUAAACACCUCUGAAUGCUAUGGUGACAUCUUUAAGUAAUUGAAAGCUCAGUAUGAAAGUCGUGUCCAGCCUUAAGACCAUUCUCAGUUAAAGGUUACACCUUUUAAUAGCUGAGUAGGCUGCCCCCUCAGACAUAUCUCAGAGCAGAGAAUUUAUUAUAUAAGGUACAAUCUCAUUGAGUAUGCAAGGUAGAUAACCUCAUUAAGAAGGGAAUGUGAAGGAGACACAGCACUGUUCAAAUAGGGCAAACAGGGGCCAACAAGGUAGAACAAAAGGCAGUCAUGGAAGUCAACCACUGCUUUUAUUUUGUGUUUCAUAUUUUGUGCUGAAUAAAAUAGAUUAUAAGGGUCAGCUGCUUAAAAUCAAGAUGAGCCCAAGAAAGAGGCCAAGAGAAAUUCAUUCUUCUGUUGAAAAGCAGUAGAGUAAAACAUAGCCUGUUGGCCCUGCACUAAUCGAACAAUCCAGAAGGUGAAAAAUGGUGACUCCGUGGAUGCAGCUUCCAAGGGCUGUAAAUGAGGGGAUCCUCCCUGGGGUCUACAAACCCCAACAGACCUGGGACACGCACUGCCCAGAGGCAUGCGUAUGCCCUAGUGGAUGGCUUGAUUAUCCUUCCAUUUCACUGAGUCUUCUUCUUCUUCUGGAAUUGGAAAGUCACCACCUGUCUAUGGAGAAUUCUUCUUCAGCUGAAGUACUAACCAAUAGUCUCCCGCUAUUUAGUGUCUGCCUCUAUGGUCACCUACCUUUAUAACAUCUACAGUCACUGCCAUUAACUGUCGUUUAAAAAAGUAAAUCACUCUUAGGCCUGCAGAACUGAACGUUCCUAAAAUAGAAGAGGUACACGGGCUGGGAGGUUGUUAGGUUCAGAUUUCUGCCUUGAGGCUGUUAGGGCACCCAUGCACACAGGACACUUAAACUUCUCCUUUCUUUCCUUCUUUCCUUCUUUCCUUCUUUCCUUCUUUCCUUCUUUCCUUCUUUCCUUCUUUCCUUCUUUCCUUCUUUCCUUCUUUCCUUCUUUCCUUCCUUCCUUCCUUCCUUCCUUCCUUCCUUCCUUCCUUCCUUCCAUACAUUUGGGCAACAAACGUGUUUCUAUAAGAUGCUUAAACUCUUAAGCAACUGGUAGAUAGGAGAAUGAGGCCAGUGUAAGCCUAAAGUCAUGUGAGUCAUACAUGAUAUGUUUUUCAGACCAUUCAUGCUUUGUGUCACAAAGCAGCAGCAACUGAAGCAACAAGCGGUGGAAGAGCAUAGAUUAUAGAACCUAUGGCCAAGCUAAGAAGAUUGAAAUCCUGAGAAACAAUUUUCUGAAGAAAUGAAAUCGCCUGCCCUCCUGAACCCUUUGGGGAAAAUCGCCCCUCUGUUUGUUCAGAAUAUGAAGCAGCGACACAGUACAAGCGAAAUAGCCAGCCAUGCCACACAGAUGCUCCCAGCACGGUCAUCUACUGUGAGGUCCUCGCUUGAGCCGAGCUGAUGGCAGCACCAUGCGCCGAGUGUCCACAGCUGGCCGUUUGAUGUGAUGGAGGCUCCGUCUACCCGUAGAAUAGGCCCCCAUCUCCUCUGCCAAGCUGGAUCCCUUGAGUAAACACUUGAGAUGACUACGCCUUAAAAAGCCUGGUUUGUAGCCAAAAUGUUAACUCAUUCAGAUAAGUGGUUGUGGCACCUCUGUGGGUACAAAACUUUUAUAGACUUGGAUUCAUUCUUUCAUUUAAUUGUGCUCGAUGGGCCCUUGUGUGGUGUUAAUACCAUUUGUCUCUGAGGGGCUGGUUACUUAGCCUCGUUGACAAAUCAACAAAGGCAAUGAGUUCCUAAAUCUACAGCACAAGUUAUAAACUCUCAGUGUGUUCCCAUCUAUAGGAAAACACAGUCACUCUCCAGUCGACAUUUACUUCUCUUGUUUUCACAGUUUCAGUCCAAAGCAUUAAUGGGAAAAUUCCAUUUUCCCAAAAUGGGGAAACAGAGCUAUUUUGUACAGGAUCAGGAGAGCUGGUUGCUUUUUCAGGGGGCAAUCUAGUCCCCUUUGUCCCUGCUUCCCACUCCCCACAUCGACCAGCAACCACACACCUACUCUCCUGGGACUCCAUUUUAGUUGUUUGCAAAUGAGGAGGAGAAUAGAAAGAAUUGCAGUGGAAAAUAUAUUUAUAGACUCUUCUAUUUAGAUCAGACAGCCAUAAAAACAAGUCAAUUAAUAAGUGAUCAAACUUCCUUGCUGUUAUAAAUUGCGCAGGAAUCCUAGUAAUCAUUGCUAUUAGCUGCUUGCAGAGUUGAACCUGAAGAGGUGAAGCAGCAGCAUUUUCUGGCGAAUGUGCUGACACAGGAUCUAUUCUAUCAGACCUCAUCAACAACCACAUUGUUUGAAGAUAUUUGAAUCAGUUCGAACACUUAGGCAACUGUGCCUGUAAGAGUUUUAUAAAAUGCCAGGGACUAAAUCUUUCAUAGCUUUUCUUAUUCAUUGAAGUUACUAUGAGCUGGAAAAGGGUAAUUUGGAGAAAACCAACCUUUAUGAAAGAAAAAAGGGAGCCGAAUGUGCACACACCGGUUGAUGAUCCCACACGUACACCGAAUCAGAACGUCAUGGGAAGGGAAAGCGGAGCUAGAGGAUCUGUACUUGCAAAACUCCCCCAGGUGCUUCUGAUGUGCAGCCAUGGUUAGCUGAGGGACCACAGAUAGAGUCUACCAGUGGCUCUUUAUCUCCAUGGCAACAGAGGAAGAAGCCACAGACAUUAACUGUGGCAUGAAGUGUUUAGGCUAAUGUGAGUUUGCUUUUAAUUACUAGGUUUCCAUUUGCCAUUAUGACCCUUUAGUGGAGAAACCCCCCUUGGCCCCGUGCCUACAGUGUGGGUAGCUGCCACCAGGUGAACGAACAGUAACGCCCUUGGUUAUGGAUUCUUACUUAGGCUCUUGCCAACCAGAUGUAAAAGGAUACCGUGUUAGAACCCAAGUCACUCAAACAUUUUCUCUGGACAGGCAUUCCAUUAAAAACAAUGGCAUACAAAAAUAACAAACCUAACUGGAAGUAUAAACAUAGGGUGAAAUAUAGAACAAAACUCAAAGACAUAUAAAUGCCCAGAUAGAUUCUUAAGAAUAUUACUUCCUAAUGCUCAACUGUUAUAAAUUAUAUUUAGCUUAACUCUGGUUUUCCUUACUGAGAGUAAACAGCAAAACUAGCAAGACGGGUAUUAUGUAUAAGAACAGAAUUCUCUGUAGCUAUACUUAAUCUCAAAAUGCUUCUUUCUUUGACACUUUAGGAAUAUUUUUCCUGCAACUUCAGGAAUCAAAAGGCUUUUCAAUAUUUUAGCCUUUCAGGGAGAAAUAUUAAGAUAAUAUCAUAUAUGCAUUCUCCUCUAUGUAUCUUCCGUUUUAAUUGCCUUUUCGCCCCUCUUUUAUUAGAAACAUCCAUUUCUUCCUCAAAAUAUUCUCCGUGUCCUCUAAUUUCCUUUUUUCCUAUCAAGAGAAGUCUCUUGCUGAGUCAGUUCCUGUUCUCAGACUUCAUGUGCUUGAGGCUUGGUAAAACCCUGUGGUGAUGCUUGCUUUUAUUCAUCAUCCCUAACAGAGUGAUGGGUAGCCCACCGGCUAUCAUAGUGGGGAUGGAAUGGAUGGAGUCAUAAUGGAUAUCAUAAGACAUUCCCAGACAUUGUUUAAUUUCAUCUUUUCAGAUCAGGAAUGUUCCCUUGCUAACCAAGUCUUGUCAUCCUCUCUGGGUAGCAAGCUUCUGGUGCAAAAAGUGCUAUGGGGGCAAACUAGCAAGUGAUUCUUUUUUUUUUAAGAUUUAUUUAUUUAUUUAUUUGAAAGUCAGAGUUACACAGAGAGAAAAGGAGAGGCAGAGAGAGAGAAAGAGGUCCUUCAUCUGCUGGUUCACUCCCCAAUUGGCCACAACAGCUGGAGCUGCGCCAAUCCAAAGCCAGGAGCCAGGAGCUUCUUCCAGGUCUCCCACAUGGUGCAGGGGCCCAAGGACUUGGGCCAUCUUCUACUGCUUUCCCAGGCCAUAGUAGAGAGCAGGGUCAGAAGAGGGGCAGCCAGGACACGAACCGGUGCCUCUGUGGGAUGUUGGUGCCACAGGCAGAGGCUUAGCUUACUAUGCCAUAGUGCUAGGCCUAGACUACCACUUUUAAAACAUUUCAAAAUGUCUUUACUUUUCUGGGAUUAAGAUUUUUUAAAAAAUCAAUUUCAGGCACCGGCACUGUGAUGCAGCGGGUUAAAGCCCUGGCCUGAAGCCAGCAUCCCAUAUGGGCACCGGUUCGAGACCUGGCUGCUCCACUUCUGAUCCAGCUCUCUGCUUUGGCCUGGGAUAGCAGUGGAAGAUGGCCCAAGUCCUGGGCCCCUGCACCCACGUGGGAGAUCCAAAAGAAGCUUCUGGCUCCUGGCUUCCAAUCAGCACAGCUCAGGCCAUUGCGGUCAUCUGGGGAGUGAACCAGCAGAUGGAAGACCUCUCUCUCUGUCUCUCCCUCUCUCUGUAACUCUUUCAAAUAAAUAAAAAGUAAAUCUUUAAAAAAAUCAAUUUCACAAUUCAGUAGUGUCUUACAUGAGGUCAAACCUAUAGAAAGGCUUUUUUUUUUGCUAGUAAUAUUAACAUUCAAUAAUAUUCAUUUAAAGGUAAAAUAU